CCAAUAGCGUAUAUUAAAGUUGUUGCAGUUAAAAAGCUCGUAGUUGAAUUUCGGGAUCAAUAUAUCGGUCGUGCCAUUGGUACGUACUGGUAUCAUUGGUUUCUCCUUUCUGACGAACCAUGAUGUCAUUAAUUUGGUGUUAUGGGAAGUUAGGACUGUUACUUUGAAAAAAUUAGAGUGUUUAAAGCAGGCUUUAGCUUGAAUACAUUAGCAUGGAAUAAUGAAAUAGGACGUUCGAACCUAUUUUGUUGGUUUCUAGGAUCAACGUAAUGAUUAAUAGGGAUAGUUGGUGGCAUUAGUAUUCAAUUGUCAGAGGUGAAAUUCUUGGAUUUAUUGAAGACUAGCUACUGCGAAAGCAUUUGCCAAGGAUGUUUUCAUUAAUCAAGAACGAAAGUUAGGGGAUCGAAGACGAUCAGAUACCGUCGUAGUCUUAACCAUAAACUAUGCCGACUAGGGAUCGGAUGAUGUUAAUUUUUUAAUGACUCAUUCGGCGCCUUACG
rnacentral:rRNA from 1 species